UACGUAGGGGGCAAGCGUUGUCCGGAAUCAUUGGGCGUAAAGAGCGUGUAGGCGGCCAGAAAAGUCCGCUGUGAAAACCCGGGGCUCAACUCCGGGCUUGCAUUCGAUACGGGCGGGCUAGAGUUCGGUAGGGGAGACUGGAAUUCCGUGGUGUAGCGGUGAAAUGCGCAGAUAUCAGGAAGAACACCCGUGGCGAAGGCGGCUCACUGGGGGUCUUCUGACGCUGAGGAACGGAAAGCCAGGGGAGCGAACGGG
rnacentral:rRNA from 1 species